AACGAACGCUGGCGGCAGGCCUAACACAUGCAAGUCGAGCGAGGACUUCGGUCCUAGCGGCGGACGGGUGAGUAACGCGUGAGAACGUGCCCUUUGCUACGGAAUAGCCCCGGGAAACUGGGAGUAAUACCGUAUGUGCCCGAGAGGGGAAAGAUUUAUCGGCAAAGGAUCGGCCCGCGUUGGAUUAGGUAGUUGGUGGGGUAAUGGCCUACCAAGCCGACGAUCCAUAGCUGGUUUGAGAGGAUGAUCAGCCACACUGGGACUGAGACACGGCCCAGACUCCUACGGGAGGCAGCAGUGGGGAAUCUUAGACAAUGGGGGAAACCCUGAUCUAGCCAUGCCGCGUGAGCGAUGAAGGCCUUAGGGUUGUAAAGCUCUUUCAGUGGGGAAGAUAAUGACGGUACCCACAGAAGAAGCCCCGGCUAACUCCGUGCCAGCCGCCGCGGUAACAC
rnacentral:rRNA from 1 species